rnacentral:rRNA from 1 species
UUGCUCUUCAACGAGGAAUUCCUAGUAAGCGUGAGUCAUCAGCUCGCGUUGAUUACGUCCCUGCCCUUUGUACACACCGCCCGUCGCUACUACCGAUUGAAUGGCUUAGUGAGCCUUUGGGAUUGGCAGCUUGUACCGGCAACGGUAGCAGGCAGCCGAGAACUUAUGCAAACUUGGUCAUUUAGAGGAAGUAAAAGUCGUAACAAGGUUUCUGUAGGUGAACCUGCAGAAGGAUCAUUAGUGAAUUUGCAGGGCCUGCCAUACGGAUGCGCAAGCGUCUCUGGCGCCCAACCCACUAUACAUCCGCAAACCCGUGUGCACUUGUGUUGCUUUGGCCUGUAUGGGCGAGCGCACGCAUUCAAACAAACUCGUAUGGUUGUAUGUACGUUGUAAACGUUGGACCGUCACUGGCCAACAAACUUUAUACAACUUUCGACAACGGAUCUCUUGGUUCUCCCAUCGAUGAAGAACGCAGCGAAACGCGAUAGGUAAUGUGAAUUGCAGAAUUCCGUGAAUCAUCGAAUCUUUGAACGCACCUUGCGCUCCAUGGUAUUCCGUGGAGCAUGCCUGUUUGAGUGCCGCGAAUUCUCCCACCCCAAACGGUUGCCGAAAGGUACUGUGCGGCGGAGGGGUUGGAUGGGUGCUGCUGCCUGUGGUGGGGAAACUACAACAGGCUCGCCCGAAAUGCAUUAGCGCCUCAGGACACAUUCGCUACUGCUCUACAAAAAGGAAGAGCAGCGAAGCGUAUGGGGGGAAAACCACCACCGGUUAUUCCAAACCUCGCCUGACUGUUUGCGCGCAUGGCAUGAUACGUCAUUUGCUGUGUUGCGUAGGUUGGUGCGUGGGACUGUGUGAGUGCCUCUAGAGCUUUGAGAAGUGUGUUUCGUGUGCUACGAACUGAAAAAGUACAUUCCUUUUUUUCAAUUCUGGUCUCAAAUCAGGUAGGAUCACCCGCUGAACUUAAGCAUAUCAAUAAGCGGAGGA